rnacentral:misc_RNA from 1 species
AAGACCACGUGCAGCAACAUCAGUUGCAACAAGCACAGUGAACUUUCCUUGGCGGAAUCCAUUCAACGUUCUCUCUCUUUGAUGUUGAGAUAUAUCUCCAUGCAAUGCUUCCGAGGCAAUACUAUUACUUAGGGCCAACGAUACCUCGUCUGCAUCCCGCUUAGUUUGUGUGAAAACAAUAGUUUUCCCACCCUUCGCAUAUACCGUGAUUAGGUCACUCAGGAUUGUACGUUUUGAAGUUGAAGUAGUCGGUAUGGCAUAAAGUUUAAUUCCCUCGGCUAGCUUUUCUUCUUGAUCACCUACCAAGUCAAUUGUCAGAGGAUUAUCAAGGUAUCUUCUCGAUAAUUUCUUCACCCAACCAGGCAUUGUAGCAGAGAAAAGCAUGCUCUGGCGCUUAGCUGGCAGCUUUUGCAAUAUAGUUUCAACAUCUUCCUCAAAUCCAACUGCAAGCAUCUGAUCAGCUUCAUCUAGGACCAAAAAUUGAACUUCUCCCAACUGUAGGCUGCCACUGUUAAUCAGAUCGAUGAUCCGACCAGGUGUCCCCACCGCCACAUCGACUCCUCGAGUAAGCGCAUUCUGCUGGACAUUGUAAGAAACUCCUCCAUAGACGCACACUGUACUGAGAUAAGGCGCUGACUCUUUAAUCUCCUUCUCCACUUGUUUGGCCAACUCCCUCGUAGGCGCCAGAACCAGAACACGAGGAAGACGUCCUGACCUCCUAGAAACAUUUUGUCCCUUAUCAUCUUCAGCAAGCCGCCUGAUUAUGGGAAUUCCAAAAGCCAGUGUUUUCCCUGUCCCAGUCUUAGCCCGAGCAAUUAUGUCCCGGCCUUCCAGCGCGGGUAUCAAAACAGCCCUCUGAAUGGGGAAGAGAUGUGUAAUCCCUCGCUUGAAGAGCGAAUCCACGAGCGGCUGAGGCAGACUUAGAUUAGUGAUAGCGAGAUCGUUCUCGUCGCCGCUGCUUCCCUCAUUAACAGCCUCCUUACCGACAUCCUCCUCCUCGUCGCCCGAAUCUAGGGCUGAGAAAUCGCCAAGGCCCUUGAAUGCCUCCUCGCUGAGUACGGAGUUGGGAGUGGCGAUGGCGGCGAGCGGCGCCGGCGUCGAGCCCCUCCGCGUGAGGCACCGGCAAGGGCCGGGAGAGGUGAAGGGCUUGGAGGGCUUGAAGGCGAUGAAAGGGGGAGAGGGUGAGGGACGGCGAGAGAGCUCGAGGGAUGAGGUUUGGUAGAGGGAGGAGACGCCGAGGAUGGAAGCCAUGGCUCGGCGAGGCCUCGGUGGAGGCGAG